rnacentral:rRNA from 1 species
AGCGAACGCUGGCGGCAGGCCUAACACAUGCAAGUCGAACGAACCUUUCGGGGUUAGUGGCGGACGGGUGAGUAACACGUGGGAACGCGCCUUUAGGUUCGGAAUAACUCAGGGAAACUUGUGCUAAUACCGAAUGUGCCCUUCGGGGGAAAGAUUUAUCGCCUUUAGAGCGGCCCGCGUCUGAUUAGCUAGUUGGUUGAGGUAAUGGCUCACCAAGGCGACGAUCAGUAGCUGGUCUGAGAGGAUGAUCAGCCACAUUGGGACUGAGACACGGCCCAAACUCCUACGGGAGGCAGCAGUGGGGAAUCUUGCGCAAUGGGCGAAAGCCUGACGCAGCCAUGCCGCGUGAAUGAUGAAGGUCUUAGGAUUGUAAAAUUCUUUCACCGGGGACGAUAAUGACGGUACCCGGAGAAGAAGCCCCGGCUAACUUCGUG